GAAUAAAAAAACAAGGGGGAUUAAGAGGGGAGUGCCGCCAUCAAAUUGAGGGUGUGAGGGGAGUUUAAGAGGGGAGUUGACGUGGCACACGAGGAUUGGUUAUGCGUAAGAGAGGGGACUCCCCUCUUAGGGGAGUGCCCCUCUCACCCUUAGCUACAAGAGCUUUUUUAUACUUUUUUUUUCUUUUUUUAUUUUACCACUAAGCUUUAUCAAUUUCACUUUUAAAGAUAUCAUUUAUAUAGUGGAGAGUUCAAAUGAGAAAAAAAAAAUUUAUAAAAAGAAAAAAGAAGAAAUUUCAACCAAUAAGAAUUUUUUAUUUUACUUCAUUUAAUAUAAGUAUUUAAUGUUACUGUAAGGGUACAUUGGUAAAUCUACAUAGAUCAUUAAUUUGUAGUCUACAUUUUUAAUAGCUAACUACAUUAAUUUUUUUUGUAACUUAUCUUCAAAAUAUAUAUUUUUUCAAAGAAAUAAAAUAAAAUAAUUUAAAGUUUAAGAUAAAUUACGAGGUGUAUAUGAUAAAUUACGAGUUGUGUAAGAUAAAUUUCAACGUGUAGGUUAAAUUUCGAAAUAUGUAGGAUAACUUUUGAUGUGUGUAGGCAAAAAAAGUUAGUGUGGAGGAUGAUAGUCUUUAUGACUAAUUAAUUAGUCAAAGAUGAUAAUAAAUAGAAUAAGUGAAAAACUAUUUAAUGUUUUACAAAAUUACCAUUUGUUCUUUUUUUUUCUCAAUUAAAUUUUUUUCUCAAAUAAACGUUCCCCUUCUAUGUUAUACAAUAUAUUAAAUUACGUCACAUAUGCCAUACACUCACAUAUUUAAUUUUUGUUUUAAUGGCAUUUAGGUAAUUUAGUGACUUUUGAGCGGCAUUUGUAAGAGUUCCGGCAACACCAAUUAUUCUUUUUUCUUCAUAUUUUAACCACAAAUGUUUUUAUCCUUACACUUUACCCCCCCCCCCCCCCCCCCCCCCCCCCUAAAAUUUUAUUAGUUUUUUUACCAACUAAAAUUUUUAGCCCAUGAAUUUUAAAUUUUAAUAAAUUUAUCAAGCGUCCCAUGAAUUCUAAUAAAGUUAUUUUUAUUCUUUUUAUACAGCUUUACACUACAACCCCUGAAUUUUAAUAGAGUUACCGCUCUAAAUUUUAAACGAAUUACCGUUACGAUGUUAUGAUUUUUUUCAUGUUUUAUCUUUUGUAUAUAGUUUCAAUUAGUAUUAGUAGUGCACGUUAUUUUUGUUUAUCUACAUUUCGACAUUAAUUUUCAUAACGUUAUUGUUUUAAAUCGACCGGUUGUUUAAAACGUCAUACUACAUGUUAAAAAGCAACAUUUGGGUGGUUGUGUGUUUGGAGGAAGUGGUGCUAACGCUAAAGAGUCUUGACAACUUAAUUCCUUUGGGGUGUGAGCGGCCGAAUGAUGGUUAACAAUGGGAGGCAAUGACAGAGUUUGUAGAAUUUGAGAUCCUAUUAAUGUUAUUUAGACUAUAUAACUAAAUUAUUCUAAUCCACAUUAUCAGAUUUUUCCUAGCAACAUGUGAGUCAUCAUCAAUUUAUAAGUUAGGAUUAUGAAUGGCAUCACUCGGAUAUGUAUCUCGGAUAUGUAUGUAUUUAGUUUUGAGUUUUAUAAUAGUUAUGUUAUUGUAUUAGAAAUCUCUAACUAAAACAUAAAUCAUUUUUAAUAACCAAAUUGUUAAUUAGUUUAGUUACUUUUGCUUUCCAAAAAGUUGGUUUCCCACCGUAAUACAGAGGAAGAAACAACCUAGUACGCAACAAAAUUCAACAUUGCUUCGGAAGAAGUCAGUUUUUUAGUAGGGUAUGACAUGUAAAAGAAAUAACAAGCAUGAAAAUGUGUACGUAAAGCUAAAAUCAUAGUCUCUUGUUUUUUAGUAGCAUGUGAACAGUAAAAGAAAAAACAAGCAUAAUGUUAUCUUAUCUUAUCUUUUCUUUUUCUUUUUCUUUUUCUUUUCUUUUGUACGUUUUGAAUGCAUUGAAGACUCUUUUUAUCUUUCUAUGUGACAAGUGAACCUAGAAAAGGGCGUAAAUAAAACAAGAGAACAAUUAAUAAUCGUUUCUUUUGGUUAAUUGUGGUGCAAAGUUUAUCGUGGUCUAUUGUUUCUCUGAGUAAAACUAGAUAGAGAAAAUAAAAGG
rnacentral:lncRNA from 1 species